UUCCCUGGUCAUGGAAAAGCAUGUUCUUAUUGACUGGCAAACUGCCGCCGUUUAACUGAUAUUGGACUGGGACUUGUACAAGGAGAAUUC
rnacentral:snoRNA from 1 species